CAGUAGCCGCGGUAAUACAGAGGAUGCAAGCGUUAUCCGGAAUGAUUGGGCAUAAAGCGUCUGUAGGUGGCUUUUCAAGUCCGCCGUCAAAUCCCAGGGCUCAACCCUGGACAGGCGGUGGAAACUACCAAGCUGGAGUACGGUAGGGGCAGAGGGAAUUUCCGGUGGAGCGGUGGAACGCGUUGAGAUCGGAAAGAACACCAGCGGCGAAAGCACUCUGCUGGGCCGACGUUGACACUGAGAGACAAACACUAGGGGAGAAAAUGGGAUUAGAUACCCCCGUAGUCCCUGUCUCUUAUAC
rnacentral:rRNA from 1 species